CUGAGGGUAAUUUUGUCCUUGUAAAAUGAACUAGGAAGCGUUUUCUUUUUUUCUAGUUCCUAGGUACAUGAAAAUCAUACAGGGAUGGCUCCAUACUUUCAGGCUCAUAAAAUUGCUAUGGAGACCGUAAAUUGGCUCUAUGAAGUUCACUUUGCCCCCAGGAGAAACCGUGAAGAGCAACACGAUUAGAACUGUGCAGUGUGUAGUAGAAAGAAUUAAUGCAGCAGGGAAAAAUAUUCUACUUUAAGCUCAAAUUUAGUUUCACAGAAGCAAAGUCUAAUGUAUGAGUAGAAAUUAGACAUCUAAGACUAUAAGAAAAAUUGGGAGGAAGGUGUCUAAAAAGGAGAAAGUUGAAAAGGAGUAAAUGAAUGGAGCUGUCCACAGUAGUCACAGAUGGGAGCAAUGAAAACAACUGGUAAGCUGACAGAAGAAAAUGCAAGGAGAUUGAUUUUCCAGAGAGGAUAAACACAAAAUAAAUGAUUCUGAGAUCUAAGCUGGAAGAAAAUAUGUAAAACCAAGGGCAGGACUACCAGUUCUUUACAACACUUGAACCUGAACCUCCAUCAGUCCCAUAGACCCCAGAUGAGCAAGGCAUAUUUUGGGAUCUGAGAGUCUCAGCUGUCUCCAGCCAAAAAGAAGAUGUAUAUCUGCAGCUUGAAAUUAUGAGUCUAUUUGAAAACAUCUAACAGUAAUGAGACCGAUUACCAGAGGGGAAAAAUCACCAUCAAUUCUU
ensembl:lncRNA